rnacentral:rRNA from 1 species
GAUGAACGCUAGCGGGAGGCCUAACACAUGCAAGCCGAGCGGUAGAGUUUCUUCGGAAACUUGAGAGCGGCGCACGGGUGCGUAACACGUGUGCAACCUACCUUUAUCUGGGGGAUAGCCUUUCGAAAGGAAGAUUAAUACCCCAUAAUAUAAUGAUUGGCAUCAAUUAUUAUUGAAAACUCCGGUGGAUAGAGAUGGGCACGCGCAAGAUUAGAUAGUUGGUGAGGUAACGGCUCACCAAGUCAAUGAUCUUUAGGGGUCCUGAGAGGGAGAUCCCCCACACUGGUACUGAGACACGGACCAGACUCCUACGGGAGGCAGCAGUGAGGAAUAUUGGACAAUGGGUGAGAGCCUGAUCCAGCCAUCCCGCGUGAAGGAUGACGGCCCUAUGGAUUGUAAACUUCUUUUGUACAGGGAUAAACCUACCCUCGUGAGGGUAGCUGAAGGGACUGUACGAAUAAGCACCGGCUAACUCCGUG